UGGAUAUGCAGGCGUAAUCGCAUCAGAGAUUUGGCUACUUGCAAUGGCAAUUGAAGGCUUCUCUUGGACCGGAAUGGGGAAAAAUGUAAUGAAGAAAGUAAUGGUAUAUAAUGUGAAUCUAUUUACUAGGAAGAUUUCAAGUUGAAGUUUGAAACCAUAAGAGCCCUGAAAGCCCUAAAUUGGAGAGAUAGGCAACAAAUCCUAAUAGAGGAGGUUGAAGGCUUUGCUUCAUUCAGAUAUCAUAUCAUAUCAGGUUGAUGGCACACAAGAUCAAUGUUCAACUUCCUGUACAAUUUGAAGACUUUUAUGUUCUUUCAUUUGGGAAAAUCAUUGCAAGCCCAUUAUACUACGGUGCCAAUUAUAUUUGGCCAAUCGGGUACAAAUCCUGUUGGCAAGAAAAGCUUACCGGCUCACUUUUUACAUGUGACGUGUCGAAUAACGGUCAACGUGGACCCUUUUUCCAAAUCACCAGGUCCAGUUGCUCAGAAUCACCUAUUCAAUAUGGUCAAACUAUUCUAUGUUGAACAGACCUUGAUGAGUAUCACAAUGUUGUGACCGAGCUGACCGAGAUGACCAAGAUAGAUCCGGGCAGUGGUGAUGAAGUAGGGUAUGAAGAUGUAAUUGAUGACCUAUAUUUUGAAGGGUCUUUCACCAUCAUCAACAUGGAAGCUACUAUUAAAAAAGAUUGUUGAUGUUCACAAAAAAGUUAUCAACCGGAAGGGCGGCGUGCAGUGUUACUAUAGGCAAGCUGAAGAUUUGAGCUUUUUGUCAUCUGUUCAUUUUACGCACGAGGUCAGCAUAGAUCUGGAGAACUUUUACAUUCACAAAAAUGUGUCAAUGUGCCGACUGUCAUUCAUGGUGACAAGGAGAAUUGUGACUUUUCAGAGUUAUUGAUGAAUUGGUUGAGAGAGUAUCGGUUUGGAUUAGACUUUGAAUUUGUUCAAGAAUUUAUAGAACAACUCCCUGGUGUGGUAGCCUGUUCAGGCUAUAUAUUUUGCAAAGAUAGUUUAUUUGAUUCAUCUUCAACAAUUUCAAGUAAAAAAAUAAAAUAAAGGGUGUGGAGCCUUUUCCUGUUGGGAGUCUCAUUUCCUCAAGGCUAUAUAUCUUCUCAUGCAACAGGCGACCUUCUUCAGGUGUAUGAAUUCCUAUGUCGUUUACAAGAAGUUCUUGAAGUGGAAGAAGAUUGUUUAUCAUAUAAAGAUCUUGAAAACGGUCUUCUUGCUCCCAGGCCUGUUACAUAUGGAUAUGGGGCAGGGGCAUUUCUGGAAACAGUAGAAAUGAAUUGUGUUAAACAUAAGGUUGACAAGUUGACUACUGUCCACAUGGCACUGCUACCUAGGCUAGUGACUAAGCUCUUGCGAAAAAUAGUUAAUUCGUUUAACGUAACCGGUGAUGCUAAAGAUACAAAGAAGGACAAGGGUAAAAAAGUAAAAAUAGAAUUGUUUCCGAUUAAUCCGCUGCAGAAGUGGCUAGAAGAUAUAUCUUGGCUUGUUUGCUAAUGGGACUCAUUUCAGAAUCGUUGUCAACGAUACCGGAAUGUGUGAUUCCGAUUCCGGUGCAUGGCAUUUAUCCCAAUCCGAAGAACAAAUCAAGAAUCUCAUCAACUACCUGAAAAGAAACGACCCACGAGAAGAGAAUAGAGAAAUUUGAUCUCGAAGUGGCAUAAGUCAAUCAUGAAACACGGUCAACAAACGGGAAUAGAUUCGGUCAAGGGCAAAACGGUCUUUUUGCAUAACAGCGGACUUGCUACAAAGGGAAGUGAGUUGCUGGAGGCGAAAUACACUACAAAUCCGGAUUCAAUGAAGAAACCAAGAUGAAAGAACGCGUGUUGCCAUGUAGAUACCACUAUGUUAAAUGCCAUGAAACUUUUUUCGGAAAUGUUGAAUUUGAACAACAUAAGAAGAACAAGUGUGAUUGUGGUUUGGAUUUGGGUUUGGUGAGUCGAUCAGGACCCGGUUAAUUAACUCAGUCUUGGUUGUGAUUCAUUAAGACGAUUGAAGAUUAAUUUGUUGGACAUGCAAGCUGCUUUCCGAUUGAGCAAAAAGAGGGUCUAGGGCAAGUUCUGAAUGGAGGUCUGAUUGGUGUGCUUUUGUUAAAUCAGCUAACACUGUAUAUGAGAAGGUUGAAGCAACUAUGGUAUUGGAAACCAUGAUCAAGACAGAUUAUAUGAAUUGAUGAUCCUUUUGAUGAAUUCUAAACUUCGAUUUUUUUGGAUUGAUGAUCCUUUUGAUCUACUUGGACUUUUGCUCCUUGUCCAAACUAAAAAUACUAUUAUACUCUUAAUGAAUUUAUUUUUCAUUUUUCUUUCACUUUUUAAUAUUAUUAUUAUUAAAUAUAAAAGUGGGCCCACUUAUCCACCCUCUCUCUUUCUCUCUCAAAACAUGUUACCGUCUUUUUCUAAACCUCUCGUGUCUAUCCUCUUCCUCCACGGUCUGAAGUCUUUCGUUCCUUCUUCUUCUUUCUCACCCUCGCCAUCACCUAUGCUUUACUCGAUGAUGGAGAUGAUAAUGGAGAAAUAAAUCAGGGAUUCCCACAUCAACCCACCUCCAAUUGCAUCGAUUUUUCUAUGUUAACAGGUUUUGAGGAAACAAUAUCCCAAUAAACACAAACCUCGAUUCCCAAAUCAACCCACAUCCGAUCCAUUCCAUUCUGAUGAUGAAAUCGACAACAAAUCAACCCUAAAAUUACCAAUCUUCCUCCAUACCUGUUUUCCUUUCACCUAAAUCUCAACCACCACCAUAAGCAAUCGACGACCCUUCUAAUGAAACCCACAUCUUCUCCAUUAACAUUCUUUUCUCCCCGAAUACCGGAUCUUUCACUUUAAAUUUCAAGAGCAAAAAAACCCAGAUGCCUCACUACAGAGGAGGUAUUAAUCGCGUCAUCUGAGAUAAACAGAAGAUAAUCAUGGUUCGAUUUCACCCUUAAAAUUGAUUUUAGAUACAAAAUUGAUUUAAUAUUUCAUUAGGGUUUACCGGGUUUGAAUCUUGAGAGAUCGACAGUGGUUGAAUCUUGACAUAUUUGAAAUCAAUUUCGUCCCCCCAUAUGUCUUCAACUUCUCAAUCGAUUUCAAAAAGUAUGUGUGUGUGUGUAAAUCCUUCCUAAAUCGUUGAUGAGAUUCUAGAUUCGAUCGACGAUAAGGAGAGAAGAGAACAGAUGAGGAAAUGCAGAAGUAGAAGUGUAGGUGUGUGUGAAUUUGCAGAGAGAGAGAGAGAGGUGGGUGGAUAAGUGGGCCCACUUUUAUAUUUAAUAAUAAUAUUAAAAAGUGAAAGAAAAAUGAAAAAUAAAUUAAAUAAGGGUAUAAUAAUCUUUUUAGUUUGGACAUGGACCAAAACUGCAAGCAAAGUAACUCAAAAGGACCACCAAUCCAAAAAAAUCGAGGUUUGGACUAAAACCCCCAAAAAUGCAUACCAUAGGGACCAUUUUUGCAAUUUAGUCUACAAGUUUUGAAGAACUUAAGUGGUUAAAUGUAUACCUUCUUCCUCCUUUGGUGUAAAAUCCGAGUUUCAUUUAUGGAUUAGAAAUUUGAUUAGAUUUUCAACUCAUUUGAGGACUAGGGUUUUGUGUUAUAAGCAAGUUAUGUUGUUUAUGUUGGUUUAUAACUCAAAUCUAUCAUUCCAUGGUAGAUUUGAUGUUGGAAUUGUAUUUUCUCUAAAAUCCCUAGAUUUUCCAAUGAUAAUGAUGAUGUGUUAAUCUGCCCUUUGCAUGAUUUCAAGACGACUGGAGAUGUUUGUAUUCAAUUCCUCCAUGGAAAAGCAUUGCUUAAAGCAACGGUAGAAUCAACUACUUAGAAAAUGUAGUUUGUGACAAUUAUGAGUUUAUGAACUUUGAUGAUGAUUAAUGGUGUUAUAAGGGGUAUUUGUUGUUCAUAACAAUGGUUUUGGUUUAUGAAGUUAAGAACAACAUGAAGAAUCAUCACAAGUUAAUGUGAUUAUAAUGAUAGUUAGAGAAGAGGGGUAAAAUGGGAAAUUAAGAAAAGAAUGAAAAAAUCAUGUUUUUAAUGUGAUUUUAAUAGAUCGGAUGAUUGGGGAACAUAUCCUGGACAUAUAUGUUGCUACUUUGGAAUUUGAUUUGAGAAAAUGAUGUUCCAGUUAUAUC